rnacentral:lncRNA from 1 species
UUAGGAGUUGGAUGUAAGACCAACGAUUGGCAUUCCGUUUCCUAUUUGUUAUGUGCUUGGAGUCUGAUGUAAGUCCAGCAAUUGGCAUUCGGUUUCCUGUUUGUGUUUCUUUGUUUGGAGUCUGAUGUAAGUCCAGCGAUUGGCAUUUGGUUUCCUGUUCGUGUUUGCUUUGUGAGGAGUUGGAUGUAAGACCAGCGAUUGG